rnacentral:rRNA from 1 species
UUUUGCAAUAGCAACCAGCGUCAGUAACAACGUAAUUAAUUACAACUUUCAACAACGGAUCUCUUGGUUCUGGCAUCGAUGAAGAACGCAGCGAAAUGCGAUACGUAGUGUGAAUUGCAGAAUUCAGUGAAUCAUCGAAUCUUUGAACGCACAUUGCGCCCUUUGGUAUUCCAAAGGGCAUGCCUGUUCGAGCGUCAUUUGUACCCUCAAGCUUUGCUUGGUGUUGCGCGUCUUUUGUCUCCAGUUCGCUGGAGACUCGCCUUAAAGUCAUUGGCAGCCGGCCUACUGGUUUCGGAGCGCAGCACAAGUCGCGCUCUUUGCCAGCCAAGGUCAGCGUCCAGCAAGCCUUUUUUUCAACCUUUGACCUCGGAUCAGGUAGGGAUACCCGCUGAACUUAAGCAUAU